AACGAACGCUGGCGGCAUGCCUAACACAUGCAAGUCGAACGAGACCUCCGGGUCUUGUUGCGCACGGGUGCGUAACGCGUGGGAACCUGCCCUUAGGUUCGCUAUAACUCCCCGUAAGGGGUGCUAAUACCGCUUAAUGUCUUCGGACCUAAGAUUUAUGGCUAUUGGAUGGGGCCGCGUUGGAUUGGUGAGUUGGUAGGGGAAAAGCAUGCCAAGGGGAGGAUCCAUAGCUGGUCGGAGAGGAUGAUCAGCCACACUGGGACUGAGACACGGACCAGAAUCCGACGGGAAGGAGCGGUGGGGAAUAUUGGACAAUGGGGGAAGGCGUGAUACAGCAAUGCCGCGUGAGUGAUGAAUGCCUUAGGGUUGUAAAGCUCUUUUUCACGGGGUGAUAAUGACGGUACCGGGAGAAUAAGCUCCGGCUAACUCCGUG
rnacentral:rRNA from 1 species